CGCGGAGGGCGACCCGGGUGAGUCAGCCGAAGAGCAGACGGGCUGCGGAGCAAGAAGACCGAGGCUGGAGGCGGCAACCAGUCCUCAGAACUCUGGACCCCUGCACCCACCGGCCUACCGUGCGUCUCCCGUGGGCUCCCUCACAGUCAUCUCCGGCUCCAUUCAUCAAGACUGAACUCCUCUGCGCCUUCUCCAGCGUUCUGUCUGCAGCCAAGCCCCUGAUUCCUGAUUCCUUCCUCCCUCAACACCACAACAUCCAACCUCAUACCAGCCAUGUGGAUCCCACUUCCAAAAUGGCUCUCUAGAAUCCACCUGCUCCUCCCCAUCUCUUCUGUCACCACCUGGUCCCAG
rnacentral:lncRNA from 10 species